rnacentral:rRNA from 1 species
AGUGAACGCUGGCGGUAGGCCUAACACAUGCAAGUCGAACGGUAGCACAGUAAGUGCUUGCUCUUACGGGUGGCGAGUGGCGGACGGGUGAGGAAUACAUCGGAAUCUAUUUUUUCGUGGGGGAUAACGAAGGGAUACUUAAGCUCAUACCGCAUACGACCUACGGGUGCAAUCACUGGAUCUUUGGACCUUGCGCGCUUGCAUGAGCCGAUGUGGGUUUAGCUAGUGGGCGGGGUAAAGGCCCACCAAGGCGACGCUCAGUAUCUGGUCUGAGAGGAUGUCCGCCAACACUGGAACGAGACCACGGCCCAGACUCCUAGGGAAGGAACAGGUGGGGAAUAUUGGAAAAUGAGCGCAGUCCUAAUCCAGCAAUACGGCGUGGGUAAGGAAGGCCUUCGAGUUGUAAGGCCCUUUUUUUGGGAAAGAAGAGCAGCAGGUUAGAACCCCGCUGUUGUGACGGUACCCAACGAAUAAGCACCGGCUAACUUCGUG